GCUUAGGUCCUGCGCAAUGAAAGCUCAUGAACCCCGUCAGAUCCGGAAGGAAGCAGCGGUAAGUGAUCACUUUUGUGUGCCGUGGGGGUGCCUAAGUUGA
rnacentral:SRP_RNA from 1 species